rnacentral:lncRNA from 1 species
CCGUAUAUUAUACAGGAGUCAGCAAAGUAUACCGGUCCAGCAUAAUAUGCUGGAGUUCGUACACAGAUGCAUCGAACUCCCGUAUAUUAUGCGGGACCGGUCUCUGUUGCAGCAAAAUAGUGGCUAUUUUUCAUUGACUUCGUAAAUGGUGGCUAUUUUUGAAUGACCAGUCCGAAAACUGACUAUAUCGUGCUAUUUUGACGAAAACAAAUCAUCUCAUAAUUAAUUAUUUCGGGAUUAAUUAUCUCAUUCUCCCCUAUAGAUAAAAAACACAACAAUCCUGUAAUUAAAGAGCCCUCAUUGUUUUGGCAGUCAACCUUUGUGGUGGGAUUUUAAUUCUAAAAAAGUAUUAUCGCGCGCAUUAAAAUUCUGUCCCAUUUAUGGAGGACUGCACGUUAUGCAGGUCCGCAAAGAUGCACCUAACAAUAAACAAGAACCUGAGAGCAACAAAUUAAAGAACUGCUAAGUUAAUAUAUUCAUUUGAUAAAAAAAUAAACAAACAAAUAGUUAAAUACAAUAGUGUAUUAUAAAAGUAAUGAAAGAGCAAUAUAGUUGGCUCUUUAUGACUCUUUAAAUUGGUCUACAUAUAUAGGUAGUCAGAAAACUUGAAGUUCUUAACAUUGAAAAUAAAUGGAGUAGCUAAUAGCUCAUGAUUUUUUAAGAAUAAUAAAUCUAAAUAGCCGUCCAUCCGACCGCUUAGACUAAAAAUAGGCGGCAUAUAUGUAUAAUAUUUGUAUAUCCACAUAUUAUAUCAAUAUCAUCAUGUUUAAUAUAUGUGUACCAGCUAGAAAAAAAUAAAAAGUGAAUGUGGCUAAUUAUUUCUAUAAAGAUCCCUUAAGAACAUAUAGACAAAAGUGCAAUUAUUAUGUUUGAUGUUUAAUUUAAUCUAUAUUUUCUAUGACACUUUCCACCAUAUAACAAUGAAAAAAAAACCAUGUAUUAAUACCUUACAAAGUUAAUUUCUGUGUUUUCGCAGCUGUGAUUCAUCCAUUUGCAGAGCAUAUAGCAUACUUCUUGCUAUUUGCCAUACCACUUCUCACAACUGUGCUAACUGGGACUGCUUCAAUAGUUUCAUUUGGUGGAUAUAUUACUUAUAUUGAUUUUAUGAACAACAUGGGCCAUUGCAACUUUGAGAUAAUUCCAAAAUGGAUGUUCUCCAGCUUCCCCCCUCUCAAAUACUUGAUGUAUACACCCUCGUA